rnacentral:lncRNA from 1 species
CAGAUUUCUUCUCUUCCUAGAAACUACCAGAUGAUUGGAGAUUCCUUCCAGUUGCUAUGGUUUCAGAAUCAUAACCCUUCUUGUUAUUUCUAAGGCUAGAUCUUCAAUUAAAUGGACCAAAUUUUGGAGGGCCAGGACUUAGAGACCAGAUAGACCCACACAGAGACAGAAAAGGACUCCAGGAAAAGUCUGAGUAGAGAUCUCCCAUUCAUUAAAAAGGAUGGAAAAGGCAAAGGAAAACACUUCCACUGGCCUUGGAUAUAGCACGGAGGAAGGCUUGGAGGUUAGGUCAGAAGGAUUUGGUAGAAGGCGGAUUAACUAAGGAAAAAGGAAAACAUAAUAAAGAAGCAGAUAUUCCCACUAGAC